GUGAGUCAGAGGGUACAAGAGCAGCCCCACCUAGCUGUGAGCAAAACUGCACCCCAAGAGCGCGAAAAGGGGAAAAGCUGGGCUGACCCUCCCCCACAACAAUGAGCAGCAGAACAGCUUUUCUCCAAGGGCUUUAUAGAGCCACAUAAAGAGCUGCAAAAUUCCAAAAAGCAUCGCUGUGAAGUUACAAACCAGAGGAGAGCUUUGGAAAUGGCUGUUGAGGAUGGAGGAAUGGAACAGAGAAGGUUCAGGAAGGCAGAGGAGCACUAGUUGGCCAGGCCUCGCUCAGCUGAAAAUGUUUUCAUUGUCACCGUGCACCAGCAGAGCAAAGUCACUCUCUAUUUGCAGAUGGAAUUCAAGUAGUAACCUUUGUUGCAACAUCAUUUCCUCACACAUGUGCCAGCUCUUCCGCUAGGCAGACCUCUUGCCCUGUUUAUAAACCAUGUGAUCUAAUCCAUGUGCCGUGAUUGAAACAAAAUUUGUCACAUCUCUGAGCAUGUCAAUGGAGUCUCCAGAAUCACACAAAAUUUCACAUGCAUUUCUGACUCAGGAAUUGACAGGUGGUUCAUGUGUACAAUUGGACAUCACCUGGUAACGGCCCUGAUACCCAUUAGUUACUAAAUGAAAGGAAGAACUCUAUUCCUCUACUCUGCACUCACAACACUUCUGACACCAGAUGCGUGGGGUUUUUCUCCCAUCGACCAAUCCUCUGACACCAGCUGAGUGCCCUACAACUCAGCAGAAGACCCUAUGGGUUAAGGGCUCACUUUCACAAGACAACCCCACUUCGGAUGCCAGCUGAAGGGAGUGGAGAUGAAAGUUCUGAGAUGCUAAUCAUGGCGUGAUCUUUGUGGUGACCAACCCCCAUCGUGAAGCUGUCCAGGAACCACCCAGAGUCUCCUCAUUUGAACCAAAGACACUCCCAACACCUGGGAAAUUGCAAGUGCCAUGAAUUGGAGUCAAAGGACACAUUCGUUGGUUUCAGUUAUAGCCGGUAGCCGGUCAACCAAGGUCAGGAAGCAGAUGGUUCUCCUUCUGAUGUAUUGUCAGAAGAUCAAGAUGGCUUAAUGCUGCAUCACAAUGCCUAUGUCACUCACCUCGCUUCAAUUAGUCACACAGGCAUUUUAUCAUCUCACAUCACCACAAGAAGAAG